rnacentral:lncRNA from 1 species
CGAGACGAGUCUCACAUCGCCUGGUACUUGUGAGUCAGAACCUGACGACGACGCCAAGAGUUAAAGGGGAGAAGAAUGUGAGACCCUAGAUAGUCCUAUAUAUAAAAUAUAAUAUAGCUAAACUUCUUAACCUGACUAUAGCAUUUUGGACGGUGGUUAGAACCAAGAAAUUAAGAGAGUUAAAUGUGGUAGGGCUAGAGUAGUCCUAGGAUGGGUGACCCCCCAGGAUGUAGGGCGUCACAACAUCGUUUUCGCGUCGAAAACACUCAAAUACUCCUCAAACACUAGUAAAACCAUUGUAAUAGUAUUCAUUAUAUGUUCUCACUACAACUCU